GACGAACGCUGGCGGCGUGCUUAACACAUGCAAGUCGAACGGAAAGGCCCUGCUUUUGUGGGGUGCUCGAGUGGCGAACGGGUGAGUAACACGUGAGUAACCUGCCCUUGACUUUGGGAUAACUUCAGGAAACUGGGGCUAAUACCGGAUAGGAGCUCCUGCUGCAUGGUGGGGGUUGGAAAGUUUCGGCGGUUGGGGAUGGACUCGCGGCUUAUCAGCUUGUUGGUGGGGUAGUGGCUUACCAAGGCUUUGACGGGUAGCCGGCCUGAGAGGGUGACCGGGAAAAAUGGGGAUUGAAAUGCGGCCGAGCCUCCGGCGGGAGGCAGCGGGGGGGAAUUUGGCACAAGGGGCGGAGGCGUGAGGCACCAACGCCGCGGGGGGGAGGACGGCCUUGGGUUUGAAAACCCCUUCCGCCUGGAAGGAAGGGGGGGUGAGGGUAAGGGAUAAAGAAAGACCGGCAAACUCGGUC
rnacentral:rRNA from 1 species